UUUUCUAGAUCUUCCCCAAGAAGUAUGGGCUCGUUGCUUUCCUGUGUUGGUGACCUAUUCCCUUUGACGAUCCCUAGGAGGAGAUGGGGCAUAAGGAUCCUCCAGGGGAAUAGCUCACCACCACUGGACAACAGCCCUAGCCCUGGGGAUUUCACUGAGACACUUUGCUGAGGCCAGCAAGGGAGAUAAAGAGUCAAAGAUAGCCACCCUACGUCAAUCACAAUAGGACAAAAAGCUGCCACAGUAGUGGCACCGACAUCACGAGCAAGUCGUUCUGUUUCAUCUGCUUCUCAAAGUCCCUGGAAGCUCUGGAGGAGAAGCUUACCAGCUGUUUGCAUACAUCAAGAUUCACUGUGCUACCCACAGGAUAGAAUAUCCACUCCACCUACCAGGUCAUCAUCCUUCCCCAAAGCAGUACAGGAAGCUGCAUCUUCAGCAGGAUCAUGAAGGGAAGCCAGCCUCAUGAGCCAAGGACCAACAUGCCUGCAUCUUAAAACCACAACAGAAUGAAUGAGUGUGUGCUGUGCUGUGCGUUUGUUUUUUCAUUGCUCUAUUCAUCUAUUUCUUCCGUUCUUUGUCUGUCUAAUUCUAUGUGGCCAUUUCACUCCUUGCUUUAUGUCUUCCUAGCUUUGUGUGUCUAAUUUUUUUAAUGUAUAUAUUUCCUCCUUGUUUUGUAUGUCCUUCUUUGCUUUGUAUUGUUAAUUUUUCUUUGUGUCCAUUUAUUCCUUGCCAUGUGUUGUAUGUCUUUCUUCCUUGCUUGUAUGUCUGUCUUCCAUGCUCGGAUGUCUUCUUGGCUUGUAUCUUUCUUCGUUGCCUUGUAUAUCUUUCUUCUUUGCUUGUAGU